GACGAACGCUGGCGGCGUGCCUAAUACAUGCAAGUUGAGCGCUGAAGGUUGGUACUUGUACCAACUGGAUGAGCAGCGAACGGGUGAGUAACGCGUGGGGAAUCUGCCUUUGAGCGGGGGACAACAUUUGGAAACGAAUGCUAAUACCGCAUAAAAACUUUAAACACAAGUUUUAAGUUUGAAAGGUGCAAUUGCAUCACUCAAAGAUGAUCCCGCGUUGUAUUAGCUAGUUGGUGAGGUAAAGGCUCACCAAGGCGAUGAUACAUAGCCGACCGGAGAGGGUGAUCGGCCACAUUGGGACUGAGACACGGCCCAAACUCCUACGGGAGGCAGCAGGAGGGAAUCUUCGGCAAUGGACGAAAGUCUGACCGAGCAACGCCGCGUGAGUGAAGAAGGUUUUCGGAUCGUAAAACUCUGUUGGUAGAGAAGAACGUUGGUGAGAGUGGAAAGCUCAUCAAGUGACGGUAACUACCCAGAAAGGGACGGCUAACUACGUG
rnacentral:rRNA from 1 species